rnacentral:sRNA from 1 species
AUUCCUGCAGCACAGGACGUGCUCAGGGUCAUGGAUGACGUGACCAUAGCCAGGAUGGCAAGCCGACAGGACGUUGGCAUUGGUCAGUAAAAGCCCGCUUCGGCGGGUUUUU